rnacentral:misc_RNA from 1 species
GGCCUGAGCUCUCGAGCCGGUUUCAUCAGACGUGAAGGGGCCGGAUCAAAGAUCCGGCCCUUUUUUCUGCGCUCG